rnacentral:tRNA from 1 species
AUCUUUCUAGUAUCAACCAAUACAAGUGACUUCCAAUCACAUAAUCUCAGUUAAACCCCGAGGAAAGAUA